rnacentral:rRNA from 1 species
GGAAGUAAAAGUCGUAACAAGGUCUCCGUAGGUGAACCUGCGGAGGGAUCAUUACAAGAACGCCCGGGCUUCGGCCUGGUUAUUCAUAACCCUUUGUUGUCCGACUCUGUUGCCUCCGGGGCGACCCUGCCUUCGGGCGGGGGCUCCGGGUGGACACUUCAAACUCUUGCGUAACUUUGCAGUCUGAGUAAACUUAAUUAAUAAAACUUAAAAUUUUAACAACGGAUCUCUUGGUUCUGGCAUCGAUGAAGAACGCAGCGAAAUGCGAUAAGUAAUGUGAAUUGCAGAAUUCAGUGAAUCAUCGAAUCUUUGAACGCACAUUGCGCCCCCUGGUAUUCCGGGGGGCAUGCCUGUUCGAGCGUCAUUUCACCACUCAAGCCUCGCUUGGUAUUGGGCAACGCGGUCCGCCGCGUGCCUCAAAUCGUCCGGCUGGGUCUUCUGUCCCCUAAGCGUUGUGGAAACUAUUCGCUAAAGGGUGUUCGGGAGGCUACGCCGUAAAACAACCCCAUUUCUAAGGUUGACCUCGGAUCAGGUAGGGAUACCCGCUGAACUUAAGCAUAUCAAUAAGCGGAGGA